UAAAACUAGUUAAUGUUUUUUUUAUCAGGAAUAAAUUUAAAUUAGUGAAAUCGCGCAUUGCGCUAGUUUUCAAGAUUUUGCUCUUCCAAAUAAUAAAGAUUCAUUUAUGAAAAAGUUAAGAGAACGUGAAGCAGCUAUUAAUGAACGAAUUCGGAGGAUACAAACUAAUUCUUCUGAAGCCAGAACAUAAAUCUAUUUAAAGUCUCCACAGCGUAAUAACGCCGUGACCGAAGAAAUACAAAUAUGCAGACCCAAUAUAUCGUGUGCUUAAUUUUAGGUGUCAUCACCAUCCUUUUUAUGUUUUACAUAAAUAAAAAACUACACUCUGAACCAGUCGUAAAGAAAGCGCCGACUUUGUAUGAAAUGUUUUUGGGUAACCCAAUUAACGUUUCUAUUUGUGCUUUUAUUUUAUUAAUUGUGAUGGUCGGAAUAAAAAAACUACGAAAGAGAUAUCUGCAAAAACUCAAGCGGAAUUGGUUUAUAACAACGGUCUCUGAGAGAUUAUUCACAGAAAUAAGUGUGAACUAUGUUAACAAUAUACGUGAGAAGGAAAGGGCUUACAUAAACAAAAUAAUGUACACUGAUCCGAAUCUAACAAAGCUAUUCACCAAUGCAAUGAAAGAGCUAAUACCGUUGUACGAUUUAAGCUCAGAAACACUUGUGGAAGAAAGCUUUUUCUUGAGCAGAAUUUGUGAGCUCAUCUUUAUGAAAAUCAGUGAAGCCCGCUUAAAUGGUACUCUUGCAGUAGUGCCAGAGGCUCAGGAUAAUUGAUUCAACGAAACAAUUAUUUUAUAUCAUUUCAGUUUAGGAUUUUGCGACACAUAGUUUUAAAAUCUAAAUUUUUGUAUGGUUCAACGCAAAUCUUUUCGCUGAAAAUUCUAAAUCUCAGUUAAUCCCUAUCUAAAUCAAUAUACAUUUAUGGGGAAAUAUAUAUAC